AGAUGAAUGAAGCAUGGUAAUGUGCACAAAAAAUGAACCUUGCGGGUUAACAUGUCUGUCCUCUCUGAUGCCCUUUGAGGCUCUGAUUUGAGGACCUGGUUACAACCUACAUCU
rfam:Punica granatum cultivar Dabenzi scaffold586, whole genome shotgun sequence.